rnacentral:rRNA from 1 species
UACAGAGGUCUCAAGCGUUGUUCGGAUUCAUUGGGCGUAAAGGGUGCGUAGGCGGCUUUCUAAGUCAGGGUGAAAUCCUGGAGCUCAACUCCAGAACUGCCUUUGAUACUGGAGAGCUCGAGUCCGGAAGAGGUGAGUGGAACUCCGAGUGUAGAGGUGAAAUUCGUAGAUAUUCGCAAGAACACCAGUGGCGAAGGCGGCUCACUGGCCCGAUACUGACGCUGAGGCACGAAAGCGUGGGGAGCAAACAGG